rnacentral:rRNA from 1 species
CGUGGGUAACCUGCCCAAGAGAUCGGGAUAACACCUGGAAACAGAUGCUAAUACCGGAUAACAAUAGAUGAUGCCUAUCAACUGUUUAAAAGAUGGUUCUGCUAUCACUCUUGGAUGGACCUGCGGUGCAUUAGCUAGUUGGUAGGGUAACGGCCUACCAAGGCGAUGAUGCAUAGCCGAGUUGAGAGACUGAUCGGCCACAUUGGGACUGAGACACGGCCCAAACUCCUACGGGAGGCAGCAGGG